UUGAAGCCUUGGUGACUGAGCGGCGGACGGGUGAGUAACGCGUGGGUAACCUGCCUUUACUCGGGAUAGCCUUUCGAAAGAAAGAUUAAUACCCGAUAGCAUAAUGAUUCCGCAUGGUUUCAUUAUUAAAGGAUUCCGGUAAAGGAUGGGGAUGCGUUCCAUUAGGUUGUUGGUGAGGUAACGGCCCACCAAGCCUUCGAUGGAUAGGGGUUCUGAGAGGAAGGUCCCCCACAUUGGAACUGAGACACGGUCCAA
rnacentral:rRNA from 1 species